UACGAAGGGGGCUAGCGUUGCUCGGAAUCACUGGGCGUAAAGCGCACGUAGGCGGGUUGUUAAGUCGGGGGUGAAAGCCCGGAGCUCAACUCCGGAACUGCCAUUGAAACUGUGAGACUUGAGGAUGAGAGAGGUGAGUGGAAUUCCCAGUGUAGAGGUGAAAUUCGUAGAUAUUAGGAAGAACACCGGUGGCGAAGGCGGCCCACUGGUCCGGUACUGACGCUGAGGUGCGAAAGCGUGGGGAGCAAACAGG
rnacentral:rRNA from 1 species